rnacentral:rRNA from 1 species
UACGUAGGGUGCGAGCGUUAAUCGGAAUUACUGGGCGUAAAGCGUGCGCAGGCGGUUCGUUGUGUCGGCGGUGAAAGCCCCGGGCUCAACCUGGGAAUGGCCGUUGAAACUGGCGAACUGGAGUGUGGCAGAGGGGGGUGGAAUUCCGCGUGGUAGCAGUGAAAUGCGUGGAGAUGCGGAGGAACACCGAUGGCGAAGGCAGCCCCCUGGGCUGACACUGACGCUCAGGCACGAAAGCGUGGGGAGCAAACAGG